UACGGAGGGUGCAAGCAUUGAUCGGAAUUACUGGGCGUAAAGGGCGCGUAGGCGGCUAGAAAAGUCGGAUGUGAAAUUCCGGGGCUCAACCCCGGAGCUGCAUUUGAAACUCUGUAGCUAGAGUACAGUUAGGGUAAACGGAAUUCCACGUGUAGCGGUGAAAUGCGUAGAUAUGUGGAAGAACACCGGUGGUGAAGACGGUUUACUGGGCUGUAACUGACGCUGAGGCGCGAAAGCAUGGGGAGCAAACAGG
rnacentral:rRNA from 1 species